GGUUAAGCGACUAAGCGUACACGGUGGAUGCCCUGGCAGUCAGAGGCGAUGAAGGACGUGCUAAUCUGCGAAAAGCGUCGGUAAGGUGAUAUGAACCGUUAUAACCGGCGAUGUCCGAAUGGGGAAACCCAGUGCAAUUCGUUGCACUAUCGUUAACUGAAUACAUAGGUUAACGAGGCGAACCGGGGGAACUGAAACAUCUAAGUACCCCGAGGAAAAGAAAUCAACCGAGAUUCCCCCAGUAGCGGCGAGCGAACGGGGAGCAGCCCAGAGUCUGAAUCAGCUUGUGUGUUAGUGGAACGGUCUGGAAAGUCCGACGGUACAGGGUGAUAGUCCCGUACACCAAAAUGCACAGGYUGUGAACUCGAAGAGUAGGGCGGGACACGUGGUAUCCUGUCUGAAUAUGGGGGGACCAUCCUCCAAGGCUAAAUACUCCUGACUGACCGAUAGUGAACCAGUACCGUGAGGGAAAGGCGAAAAGAACCCCGGCGAGGGGAGUGAAAAAGAACCUGAAACCGUGUACGUACAAGCAGUGGGAGCACCUUCGGGUGUGACUGCGUACCUUUUGUAUAAUGGGUCAGCGACUUAUAUUCUGUAGCAAGGUUAACCGUAUAGGGGAGCCGCAGGGAAACCGAGUCUUAACUGGGCGUUAAGUUGCAGGGUAUAGACCCGAAACCCGGUGAUCUAGCCAUGGGCAGGUUGAAGGUUGGGUAACACUAACUGGAGGACCGAACCGACUAAUGUUGAAAAAUUAGCGGAUGACUUGUGGCUGGGGGUGAAAGGCCAAUCAAACCGGGAGAUAGCUGGUUCUCCCCGAAAGCUAUUUAGGUAGCGCCUCGUGAAUUCAUCUUCGGGGGUAGAGCACUGUUUCGGCUAGGGGGUCAUCCCGACUUACCAACCCGAUGCAAACUACGAAUACCGAAGAAUGUUAUCACGGGAGACACACGGCGGGUGCUAACGUCCGUCGUGAAGAGGGAAACAACCCAGACCGCCAGCUAAGGUCCCAAAGUCAUGGUUAAGUGGGAAACGAUGUGGGAAGGCACAGACAGCCAGGAUGUUGGCUUAGAAGCAGCCAUCAUUUAAAGAAAGCGUAAUAGCUCACUGGUCGAGUCGGCCUGCGCGGAAGAUGUAACGGGGCUAAACCAUGCACCGAAGCUGCGGCAGCGACACUAUGUGUUGUUGGGUAGGGGAGCGUUCUGUAAGCCUGCGAAGGUGWSCUGUGAGGSWUGCUGGAGGUAUCAGAAGUGCGAAUGCUGACAUAAGUAACGAUAAAGCGGGUGAAAAGCCCGCUCGCCGGAAGACCAAGGGUUCCUGUCCAACGUUAAUCGGGGCAGGGUGAGUCGACCCCUAAGGCGAGGCCGAAAGGCGUAGUCGAUGGGAAACAGGUUAAUAUUCCUGUACUUGGUGUUACUGCGAAGGGGGGACGGAGAAGGCUAUGUUAGCCGGGCGACGGUUGUCCCGGUUUAAGCAUGUAGGCUGRUUAUCCAGGCAAAUCCGGAUAAUCAAGGCUGAGGUGUGAUGACGAGGCACUACGGUGCUGAAGUAACAAAUGCCCUGCUUCCAGGAAAAGCCUCUAAGCAUCAGGUAACAUCAAAUCGUACCCCAAACCGACACAGGUGGUCAGGUAGAGAAUACCAAGGCGCUUGAGAGAACUCGGGUGAAGGAACUAGGCAAAAUGGUGCCGUAACUUCGGGAGAAGGCACGCUGGUGUGUAGGUGAAGYCCCUGCGGRUGGAGCUGAGACCAGUCGAAGAUACCAGCUGGCUGCAACUGUUUAUUAAAAACACAGCACUGUGCAAACACGAAAGUGGACGUAUACGGUGUGACGCCUGCCCGGUGCCGGAAGGUUAAUUGAUGGGGUUAUCCGUAAGGAGAAGCUCUUGAUCGAAGCCCCGGUAAACGGCGGCCGUAACUAUAACGGUCCUAAGGUAGCGAAAUUCCUUGUCGGGUAAGUUCCGACCUGCACGAAUGGCGUAAUGAUGGCCAGGCUGUCUCCACCCGAGACUCAGUGAAAUUGAACUCGCUGUGAAGAUGCAGUGUACCCGCGGCAAGACGGAAAGACCCCGUGAACCUUUACUAUAGCUUGACACUGAACAUUGAGCCUUGAUGUGUAGGAUAGGUGGGAGGCUUUGAAGCGUGGACGCCAGUCUGCGUGGAGCCAACCUUGAAAUACCACCCUUUAAUGUUUGAUGUUCUAACGUUGGCCCCUKACCGGGGUUGCGGACAGUGUCUGGUGGGUAGUUUGACUGGGGCGGUCUCCUCCCAAAGCGUAACGGAGGAGCACGAAGGUUAGCUAAUCCUGGUCGGACAUCAGGAGGUUAGUGCAAUGGCAUAAGCUAGCUUGACUGCGAGCGUGACGGCGCGAGCAGGUGCGAAAGCAGGUCAUAGUGAUCCGGUGGUUCUGAAUGGAAGGGCCAUCGCUCAACGGAUAAAAGGUACUCCGGGGAUAACAGGCUGAUACCGCCCAAGAGUUCAUAUCGACGGCGGUGUUUGGCACCUCGAUGUCGGCUCAUCACAUCCUGGGGCUGAAGUAGGUCCCAAGGGUAUGGCUGUUCGCCAUUUAAAGUGGUACGCGAGCUGGGUUUAGAACGUCGUGAGACAGUUCGGUCCCUAUCUGCCGUGGGCGCUGGAGAAUUGAGGGGGGCUGCUCCUAGUACGAGAGGACCGGAGUGGACGCAUCACUGGUGUUCGGGUUGUCAUGCCAAUGGCACUGCCCGGUAGCUAAAUGCGGAAGAGAUAAGUGCUGAAAGCAUCUAAGCACGAAACUUGCCCCGAGAUGAGUUCUCCCUGAGACUUUAAGUCUCCUGAAGGAACGUUGAAGACGACGACGUUGAUAGGCCGGGUGUGUAAGCGCAGCGAUGCGUUGAGCUAACCGGUACUAAUGAACCGUGAGGCUUAACCUU
rnacentral:rRNA from 1 species